rnacentral:lncRNA from 1 species
UUGGGAACUUGGAGAACCAUAUUCUUCCAUCCAAAUCCAUGGAUCUAAGAAGCAAGGAAUGAAGGCCCUAUCUCUUUGGGUGAUUAGCCUUUGCUUAUGCAAAGAGGAAUCUACAAAGGUAUAUUUAUCAACUCACUUUGUUUUUGAGUUGAUUCUUGGUUCACCAAUCUACUAGGCUUUGAAUUUCAUGGGUAAUGUUUUGUUUUUAAGUGCAUGCAAGCAUGAUUCCGCCUUUAAUUGUUAAUUCAUGCUUAUAGAUGUUGCUUAAAUGAACAUGUUUUCACAAAAUAAUCCUUCAAUUGGUAUCAGAGCCUAGGUCUAGUAGUUGGUGAAUCCUUUUGGGUUUUGUAGUUCAUAGUUUGUGAUUUAAAAGUUGUAAUUGUUACAAGCUUUAUUCUUGCUUCUUUGAAUGUAAAUUUUGUUGGAAAAUUUGCCAUCUCAAAUGUUGUAGAUGUUGUUCAUAUGAGCAUGAAUAUUGGAGCUAAAACAUGUAUAAUUUUCCCAGAAAUAGAAUAUAUAUAUAUAUAUAUAUAUAUAUAUUCAAAUCAUGCUUCACUUAACCACAAACAUAAGUAUGUCAUGCCAAAUAUAGAAUAUAAUAAGUAACUCAGGUGAAGAUAAGUUCAUGGGAAUAACAUAUUAGCCGGAACCUCUGUAGAGGUUUAUACGGCUGAAUUCAUGGCUCAUCAAUCAAUCUAGCCGGAGUCACUGCACAUGACUUAUACGGCACUGCACUGCACACGAGUUGGAACCACUGUAAUGGUCUGUACGACAAGACUGGGUGUAAUAUAGUUAUACUCAAUGCUACGCUCUCGUAUAAGCUGUGCGAUAAAUCGAUGGUCACCUACGA